rnacentral:sRNA from 1 species
UUUUUUUUAAAUUCAGGAGGUUCUGGCCGAAGCCCGUAAUCCCCCCAUGCCCGAAACCACAGUAUGUAAUAUUAGUUUUGUCCCAAACGUCACUCGAACCGGUGACUUCUAAGUUUCGCCUAAGGUCUUUACCAAUUAAGCUAACGACACUUGGUAUCGCAUUAAUUUAUUGAUAACAAGCAAAUCACUUAUAUCGUAUAUGAAACCUUAUGAUCAACAAAUUAU